GGGGGUGAUUUGGUUUCGACGUGGAUCACAAAACCCAAGGUGCAUGCCGAGGUGCAGUUCCCCUCGUAAAACCAGCUGCAACCAAGUUAGUUGCCAACGACGACAACUACGCUCUAGCCGCUUAAUCGGCUAGUCUCUGACCAGGGCCUGCUUAUGGACGCUGUCUCAGGGAUAACCCAAGCAUAAGCUCGCGAAGAGGCAAGUCCGGGGCCAAAUCGCUAAAACUCACGGAAUCGCUGUUCGUCUUCCCUGCCAGUCGGGGAGCGGGCCGUUAAAACCAAAGACUCGGAUAAGCAUGUAGAGCCGAAGGCGGAGGAUUUACGGACGCGGGUUCAAUUCCCGCCACCUCCACCA
rnacentral:tmRNA from 1 species